rnacentral:rRNA from 1 species
GACGAACGCUGGCGGCGUGCUUAACACAUGCAAGUCGAACGGAAAGGCCCUGCUUUUGUGGGGUGCUCGAGUGGCGAACGGGUGAGUAACACGUGAGUAACCUGCCCUUGACUUUGGGAUAACUUCAGGAAACUGGGGCUAAUACCGGAUAGGAGCUCCUGCUGCAUGGUGGGGGUUGGAAAGUUUCGGCGGUUGGGGAUGGACUCGCGGCUUAUCAGCUUGUUGGUGGGGUAGUGGCUUACCAAGGCUUUGACGGGUAGCCGGCCUGAGAGGGUGACCGGCCACAUUGGGACUGAGAUACGGCCCAGACUCCUACGGGAGGCAGCAGUGGGGAAUAUUGCAAAAUGGGCGGAAGCCUGAUGCAGCAACGCCGCGUGCGGGAUGACGGCCUUCGGGUUGUAAACCGCUUUCGCCUGUGACGAAGCGGGAGUGACGGUAAUGGGUAAAGAAGCACCGGCUAACUACGUG